rnacentral:rRNA from 1 species
ACGAACGCUGACGGCGUGCUUAACACAUGCAAGUCGAACGGUGAAGCGCCUUCCUUUUUGGUGGGUGUGGAUGAGUGGCGAACGGGUGAGUAACACGUGAGUAACCUGCCCCCUUCUUCUGGAUAACCGCAUGAAAGUGUGGCUAAUACGGGAUAUUCUGGGUCUGUCGCAUGAUGGGUCUGGGAAAGAUAUUGUUUCGGUGGGGGGUGGGCUCGCGGCCUAUCAGCUUGUUGGUGGGGUGAUGGCCUACCAAGGCGGUGACGGGUAGCCGGCCUGAGAGGGUGGACGGUCACACUGGGACUGAGACACGGCCCAGACUCCUACGGGAGGCAGCAGUGGGGAAUAUUGCACAAUGGGCGCAAGCCUGAUGCAGCGACGCCGCGUGAGGGAUGGAGGCCUUCGGGUUGUGAACCUCUUUCGCCAGUGAAGCAGGCCUGCCUCGUUUGUGGGUGGGUUGACGGUAGCUGGAUAAGAAGCGCCGGCUAACUACGUG